rnacentral:sRNA from 6 species
UGAGAAGCUUCGACUAAGGUUCGAUUCGAGCGUCAGCGAGAAAGCGUUGCCGCAGGCAACGACCCGAAGGGCGAAGCGCGCAGCGCUGAGUCAUCCUUCCCCCACCACCA